rnacentral:rRNA from 1 species
UACGGGGGGGGGCAAGCGUUGUUCGGAAUUAUUGGGCGUAAAGGGCGCGUAGGCGGUUAGAUAAGUCGCUGUGAAAACCUCGGGCUUAACUCGAGGCCUGCAGUUGAAACUGUCUAGCUGGAGUGUGGGAGAGGAGAGUGGAAUUCCCGGUGUAGCGGUGAAAUGCGUAGAUAUUGGGAGGAACACCAGUGGCGAAGGCGGCUCACUGGACCGGUACUGACGCUGAUGCGCGAAAGCGUGGGGAGCAAACGGG